GAUGAACGCUGGCGGCGUGCCUAAUACAUGCAAGUCGAGCGAACGGACGAGAGGCUUGCUCCUCUGAUGUUAGCGGCGGACGGGUGGGUAACACGUGGAUAACCUACCUAUAAGACUGGGAUAACUUCGGGAAACCGGAGCUAAUACCGGAUAAUAUUUUGAACCGCAUGGUUCAAAAGUGAAAGACGGUCUUGCUGUCACUUAUAGAUGGAUCCGCGCUGCAUUAGCUAGUUGGUAAGGUAACGGCUUACCAAGGCAACGAUGCAUAGCCGACCUGAGAGGGUGAUCGGCCACACUGGAACUGAGACACGGUCCAGACUCCUACGGGAGGCAGCAGUAGGGAAUCUUCCGCAAUGGGCGAAAGCCUGACGGAGCAACACCGCGUGAGUGAUGAAGGUCUUCGGAUCGUAAAACGCUGUUAUUAGGAAAGAACAUAUGUGUAAGUAACUGUGCACAUCUUGACGGUACCUAAACAGAAAGCCACGGCUAACUACGUG
rnacentral:rRNA from 1 species